CACACUUCUCAAACCAUGGUCUCCUCAUCUCUCUGGUUGUUUCUACUGCUUGCAGCUGUCUCUCGUGUCCACUGUGUUGAACUGACCCAGACUGAUUCUGUGGUCUUAAGGCCUGGUCAGGUUUUGACUCUGUCCUGUAAGAUCUCUGGAUAUUCAUUGACUGACAGCAACUACUGCACUCACUGGAUACGACAGGCUGCAGGAAAAGCUCUGGAAUGGAUUGGAAGAAUAUGUGGUAGCGGUAACACAUAUUACAGUGAUAAACUGAAAAGUAGAUAUCAAGUUAGCAGAGACACUUCCAGCAGCACAGUGACUCUACAAGGACAGAAUAUGCAGACUGAGGACACAGCUGUGUAUUACUGCGCCAGAGAGUCACAGUGACACAAACCAUAAGCAGCUUU